rnacentral:misc_RNA from 1 species
UCAAACUUGGUCAUUUAGAGGAAGUAAAAGUCGUAACAAGGUCUCCGUUGGUGAACCAGCGGAGGGAUCAUUACCGAGUUUACCAACUCCCAAACCCCGUGCGAACAUACCGUAUCUACGUUGCUUCGGCGGUGCCGCCCCGGGCGCGGGCCUUCCCCGGAAGGCCGCCAGCCCCGGACCCAGGCGCCCGCCGGGGGACCCCCAAACUCUCGUGAAUUUCUCCCAGCGGCAUCCUCUGAGUCUCUCCUCCUCCGGGGGGAAAGGAAAAAACAAAAUGAAUCAAAACUUUCAACAACGGAUCUCUUGGCUCUGGCAUCGAUGAAGAACGCAGC